rnacentral:rRNA from 1 species
GACGAACGCUGGCGGCGUGCUUAACACAUGCGAGUCGAACGGAAAGGCCCUGCUUUUGUGGGGUGCUCGAGUGGCGAACGGGUGAGUAACACGUGAGUAACCUGCCCUUGACUUUGGGAUAACUUCAGGAAACUGGGGCUAAUACCGGAUAGGAGCUCCUGCUGCAUGGUGGGGGUUGGAAAGUUUCGGCGGUUGGGGAUGGACUCGCGGCUUAUCAGCUUGUUGGUGGGGUAGUGGCUUACCAAGGCUUUGACGGGUAGCCGGCCUGAGAGGGUGACCGGCCACCUUGGGACUGAGAUACGGCCCAGACUCCUACGGGAGGCAGCAGUCGGGAAUAUUGCACAAUGGGCGGAAGCCUGAUGCAGCAACGCCGCGUGCGGGAUGACGGCCUUCGGGUUGUAAACCGCUUUCGCCUGUGACGAAGCGUGAGUGACGGUAAUGGGUAAAGAAGCACCGGCUAACUACGUG